AUUGAACGCUGGCGGCAGGCUUAACACAUGCAAGUCGAACGAGUGGCGGACGGGUGAGUAAUGCUUGGGAAUCUAGCUUAUGGAUGGGGAUAACUACGGGAAACUGUAGCUAAUACCGCGUACCAUAGGAUGAGCCCAAGUGGGAUUAGGUAGUGGGGGGGGUAAAGGCUCACCAAGCCGACUAUCUCUAGCUGGUCUGAGAGGCUGACCAGCCACACUGGGACUGAGACAAGGCCCAGACUCCUACGGGAGGCAGCAGUGGGGAAUAUUGGGCAAUGGGGGAAACCCUGACGCAGCCAUUCCGCGUGUAUGAAGAAGGCCGUAGGGUUGUAAAGUACUUUCGGCGGGGAGGCGGUACCCGCAGAAGAAGCACCGGCUAACUCCGUGCCAGCCGCCGCGGUAAUUC
rnacentral:rRNA from 1 species